GGUCAAGCUACUAAGGGCAUGCGGUGGAUGCCUUGGCGAGUCCUGGCGAUGAAGGGCGUGGCAAGCUGCGAUAAGCCCUGGGGAGGUGCAAGCAACCUGUGAUCCGGGGAUUCCCAAAUGGGGCAACCCAUCCAUCUGUAAAGAUGGAUAUCCACCAGUUUUUCUGGUGGAGGCGAACCGGGGGAAGUGAACCAUCUCAGUACCCCGAGGAAAAGAAAGAAAAUUUCGAUUCCCUGAGUAGCGGCGAGCGAAAGGGGAACAGCCCAAACCGAAUAAGGGUAAAAGCGUAGGCGCGUUCCUUAUUCGGGGUUGUAGGGUCUGGCAAGGGAAGGCCUACAUUCCCAUGAGGCAUAAAAUUUCCUCAAAAUAGCUGAAUGACCUGGAAAGGUCAACCAUAGAGGGUGAAAGUCCCGUAAGCGAAAUUUUGAGGAAGCCUUAAGCCAGAUACCUGAGUACAGCGGAGGAACCGAGAAGCUCCGCUGGAAUCUGGGAGGACCACCUCCCAAGGCUAAAUACACGGACUCGACCGAUAGUGCACAAGUACCGCGAGGGAAAGGUGAAAAGAACCCCGGAAGGGGAGUGAAAUAGAACCUGAAACCGCAUGCUUACAAGCAGUCGGAGUCCGCAUUUUGCGGAUGACGGCGUGCCUAUUGAAGAAUGAGCCAGCGAGUUACUGGUUGUGGCGAGGUUAAUCCGCUUUAGCGGAGGAGCCGUAGCGAAAGCGAGUGGCCCUAACUGGGCCCAUUAGUCGCAACCAGUAGACCCGAAGCCGGGCGAUCUAACCAUGGCCAGGAUGAACCUACCGUAACAGGUGGGGGAGGUCCGAACCGGUGGUUGUUGCAAAAACCUCGGAUGAGCUGUGGUUAGGAGUGAAAGGCUAAUCAAGCUCGGUGAUUGCUGGUUCUCCCCGAAAUGCCUUUAGGGGCAGCCUCACCUUAUAGGGUGAUGGGGGUAGAGCACUGAUAGGGCAAGUUCACCGAUAGGUGAGCAAGUCCUUUCAAACUCCGAAUACUAUCACCCGUUUGGUGGGAGUGAGACGGUGGGGGAUAAGCUCCAUCGUCAAAAGGGUUACAGCCCAGACCAUCGGCUAAGGUCCCUAAAUCCAACCUAAGUGGUAAAGGAGGUGGAGUUGCAUAGACAACCAGGAGGUUGGCUUAGAAGCAGCCAUCCUUUAAAGAAAGCGUAACAGCUCACUGGUCGAUGCAACUCUGCGCCAACAAUUCAACGGGGCUUAAGGUUGGUACCGAAGCCAUGGACUCUGUGAUUUUUAUCACAGAUUGGUAGGGGAGCAUUCCCUGGCGGAGAAGGUAUUCCGUAAGGAAUACUGGAGCCAAGGGAAGAGAGAAUGCUGGCAUAAGUAGCGAAAAAGUAGGUGAGAAUCCCACUGGCCGAAAGCCUAAGGUUUCCUGGGGAAGGUUCGUCCUCCCAGGGUUAGGCGGGAGCUAAGCCGAGGCCGAAAGGCGUAGGUGAUGCACAGCCGGUUAAUAUUCCGGCCCUACCUGGUAAGCGCUAUUACUGAAGGGGUGACGGAAAAAGAUAGGUCAGCCGGUGACUGGUAGUACCGGUUCAACCUCAGAGGUCUGCCUGUGGCAAAUCCAUGGGCAAUAAAAGACCAAAGAGGGAGUACGAGUCCAGCCGCAAGGCUGGGCGAAGUGAUCGAAUCUUUUUCCCGAGAAAAACCUCGUAGGAAGUUUAUCAGGUACCCGUACCGCAAUCCGACACAGGUAGGCUGGGGGAGUACCCUAAGGCCAGCGAGAGAACCCUCGCUAAGGAACUCGGCAAGUUAGCCCCGUAACUUCGGGAGAAGGGGUGCCUGAGUAGGGUGAGGUUUAUCCAUAGCCAAGCCCGAAAAGGCCGCAGUGAAAUGGCUC
rnacentral:rRNA from 1 species